rnacentral:rRNA from 1 species
GACGUACCCGCAGAAGAAGCACCGGCUAAUUCCGUGCAGCAGCCGCGGUAAUACGGAGGGUGCAAGCGUUAAUCGGAAUUACUGGGCGUAAAGCGCACGCAUGGCGGUCUGUCAAGUCGGAUGUGAAAUCCCCGGGCUCAACCUGGGAACUGCAUUCGAAACUGGCAGGCUAGAGUCUCGUAGAGGGAGGUAGAAUUCCAGGUGUAGCGGUGAAAUGCGUAGAGAUCUGGAGGAAUAAAGGUGGCGAAGGUGGCCUCCUGGACA